rnacentral:rRNA from 1 species
GAUGAACGCUGGCGGAGUGCUUAACACAUGCAAGUCGAACGGGAAACCUUUUAAUGACACAUAGGCAGAAAAAGCUGGUUUCUAAAAGAGGACGGGUGAGUAACGCGUGGGUAACCUGCCUUAUACAGGGGGAUAACAGUCAGAAAUGGCUGCUAAUACCGCAUAAGCGCACAGAGCUGCAUGGCUCAGUGUGAAAAACUCCGGUGGUAUAAGAUGGACCCGCGUUGGAUUAGCUGGUUGGUGGGGUAACGGCCCACCAAGGCGACGAUCCAUAGCCGGCCUGAGAGGGUGAACGGCCACAUUGGGACUGAGACACGGCCCAGACUCCUACGGGAGGCAGCAGUGGGGAAUAUUGCACAAUGGGGGAAACCCUGAUGCAGCGACGCCGCGUGAAGGAAGAAGUAUCUCGUGAUGUAAACUUCUAUCAGCAGGGAAGAUAAUGACGGUACCUGACUAAGAAGCCCCGGCUAACUACGUG